rnacentral:rRNA from 1 species
UUUAUGGAGAGUUUGAUCCUGGCUCAGGAUGAACGCUGGCGGCGUGCCUAAUACAUGCAAGUCGAGCGAACGGACGAGAAGCUUGCUUUUCUGAUGUUAGCGGCGGACGGGUGAGUAACACGUGGAUAACCUACCUAUAAGACUGGGAUAACUUCGGGAAACCGGAGCUAAUACCGGAUAAUAUUUUGAACCGCAUGGUUCAAAAGUGAAAGACGGUCUUGCUGUCACUUAUAGAUGGAUCCGCGCUGCAUUAGCUAGUUGGUAAGGUAACGGCUUACCAAGGCAACGAUGCAUAGCCGACCUGAGAGGGUGAUCUGCCACACUGGAACUGAGACACGGUCCAGACUCCUACGGGAGGCAGCAGUAGGGAAUCUUCCGCAAUGGGCGAAAGCCUGACGGAGCAACGCCGCGUGAGUGAUGAAGGUCUUCGGAUCGUAAAACUCUGUUAUUAGGGAAGAACAUAUGUGUAAGUAACUGUGCACAUCUUGACGGUACCUAAUCAGAAAGCCACGGCUAACUACGUGCCAGCAGCCGCGGUAAUACGUAGGUGGCAAGCGUUAUCCGGAAUUAUUGGGCGUAAAGCGCGCGUAGGCGGUUUUUUAAGUCUGAUGUGAAAGCCCACGGCUCAACCGUGGAGGGUCAUUGGAAACUGGAAAACUUGAGUGCAGAAGAGGAAAGUGGAAUUCCAUGUGUAGCGGUGAAAUGCGCAGAGAUAUGGAGGAACACCAGUGGCGAAGGCGACUUUCUGGUCUGUAACUGACGCUGAUGUGCGAAAGCGUGGGGAUCAAACAGGAUUAGAUACCCUGGUAGUCCACGCCGUAAACGAUGAGUGCUAAGUGUUAGGGGGUUUCCGCCCCUUAGUGCUGCAGCUAACGCAUUAAGCACUCCGCCUGGGGAGUACGACCGCAAGGUUGAAACUCAAAGGAAUUGACGGGGACCCGCACAAGCGGUGGAGCAUGUGGUUUAAUUCGAAGCAACGCGAAGAACCUUACCAAAUCUUGACAUCCUUUGACAACUCUAGAGAUAGAGCCUUCCCCUUCGGGGGACAAAGUGACAGGUGGUGCAUGGUUGUCGUCAGCUCGUGUCGUGAGAUGUUGGGUUAAGUCCCGCAACGAGCGCAACCCUUAAGCUUAGUUGCCAUCAUUAAGUUGGGCACUCUAAGUUGACUGCCGGUGACAAACCGGAGGAAGGUGGGGAUGACGUCAAAUCAUCAUGCCCCUUAUGAUUUGGGCUACACACGUGCUACAAUGGACAAUACAAAGGGCAGCGAAACCGCGAGGUCAAGCAAAUCCCAUAAAGUUGUUCUCAGUUCGGAUUGUAGUCUGCAACUCGACUACAUGAAGCUGGAAUCGCUAGUAAUCGUAGAUCAGCAUGCUACGGUGAAUACGUUCCCGGGUCUUGUACACACCGCCCGUCACACCACGAGAGUUUGUAACACCCGAAGCCGGUGGAGUAACCUUUUAGGAGCUAGCCGUCGAAGGUGGGACAAAUGAUUGGGGUGAAGUCGUAACAAGGUAGCCGUAUCGGAAGGUGCGGCUGGAUCACCUCCUUUCU